GACGAACGCUGGCGGCGUGCUUAACACAUGCAAGUCGAACGGAGAGGCCCUGCUUUUGUGGGGUGCUCGAGUGGCGAACGGGUGAGUAACACGUGAGUAACCUGCCCUUGACUUUGGGAUAACUUCAGGAAACUGGGGCUAAUACCGGAUAGGAGCUCCUGCUGCAUGGUGGGGGUUGGAAAGGUUCUGCGGUUGGGGAUGGACUCGCGGCUUAUCAGCUUGUUGGUGGGGUAGUGGCUUACCAAGGCGUUGACGGGUAGCCGGCCUGAGAGGGUGACCGGCCACACUGGGACUGAGAUACGGCCCAGACUCCUACGGGAGGCAGCAGUGGGGAAUAUUGCACAAUGGGCGGAAGCCUGAUGCAGCAACGCCGCGUGCGGGAUGACGGCCUUCGGGUUGUAAACCGCUUUCGCCUGUGACGAAGCGUGAGUGACGGUAAUGGGUAAAGAAGCACCGGCUAACUACGUG
rnacentral:rRNA from 1 species